UUGCUUUUAGAACAAGGGAAAAAAACAUGAGGUGGCCAAAACACUACACAAACUCCAUUCUGAAAACGUAUUAUCCAGUUUACACCUGACGAGUGACGACGGCCUCCGAGGCUCUGAACGCAUUUGCCAGUUCCCCUGAUUUCGCUUCCCUUUCCCCCAAAAGGCCAAAACCCUCCUCCUGCCAACUAAAAAAAAAAAAAAAACUCCUCCUGCCCCCAGUGCGGCAGUGCCCCCCCCACCACCGGCGCCAAAUUCCGCUCCAAUCUCCCCGGCCGCGCGUUACCGAUCGCUUGCUCUUGUCCUGGUUCCUGCUCCAUCGUGGCUGCCAAUGGCGGAAUCAGCUGCCCCCUGUAGGCUAUCUCCAAUCUUAAAUUUGGGGUGUAUCAAGGGCUUCUAGCAAUGAUAUAAAGAUAACCAGGGUUGUUCACCUGCAUGAUUUAUGAUCUUUUGUACAGUUCUCCUUGGUUUUGCAAUAGAAAUGUUCAGGCUGGCAUUUGCCCGCUGAAGUCCGGUCACAUAAAUAAAUUUGUGCAUCUUGGUGGAGAUUUGAUACUGCAUAAGCUUGAUGAAGUCGAGAUCUCUCUGAAGAAAAUGCAAGCAACGCUAGAAAGGGAAGAAGCAUCGAAAAUGAAGAUCACACCCGGUUGACUUGCAUAUUUUUGGCAGAAUUAUUUAAUUAAUGCAAGAAAAGGAAAGCAAAGGUGCCCCAGUCACACUUCACUCUUGAUUUCUUCUAGGCAGCAUAAGAAAAUGAAGAUCGCGCCCAGUUGACUACUUGACUUACAUAUUUUCGGCAGGUAUCCCAUGAAAGAGUGUUGAACAAUUUGGCUAUUCUGUGUUAAUGUUCGGUUGUGUUUGGCCCUUAAUUAAUGCCUGUUCCACUUUGGUGUCCAUCAUCCACACUGCUGCUGAUUGCCUGUCUAGACUCUGUUGCAUGAAAUGUUUUGGGUUCUCUCAAACCAUUGGCCUGAUAAGCGAAACCAUCUGGGAGAGGUCCCUCUUAUAUAUGUAUGUUUGGUUAAGCAAGUAACUUCAAUCGACUUCCACAGUGUUCUGGUGCACUCUGUGCCUGUCUCAACAUGGUCAUCGUCGUUGGUUUCCUGUACGUCUUUUGUCACAACCCUAUUGUAGAACCAUUCAGAACAUGAGUCAUGAGGUUUCUACUUUCUAGUGCAAAAUCUGUAGGAAUCCAUAGUAACGAGCUCAAAACCUAUUGUUACUGAGAAUAGCUCGGCCAAACUUCAACUCCAGUAAGUAAAUCUUUCUGCUCACUAGAAAAUACUGGUGUCCCCUGAAGCUCUGACUUGGUAUCAGUGUGCUGGUUGGUGGUGGUUUUCUUUCUGGACCCAGAUGCUGUCAUGGACAAUAAUUAAUUUCUAGCAUUACAUGGAGUCUAAGCCAACCCGAGACUGGCAUUAAAUGAAAGUAUGGUCUUAUGGCAUUUUCGCAGAAUUAUGUAAUUAAUGCAAGAAAUGAAAAGCAAAGAUGCCCCCUCACACUUCACUCUUAUUUUUUCUAGGCAGCAAAAUACAUAUGAUGAGGCCCUUUUCAAUGAUGCUAUGACCGUUUCUUCUUCAAAAGGGUGUAACACCUUUUUGCUAUAUUUCUAAAGCCUCGGGAAGGUGGAAAAACAUUUCUUUAUACCAACAAAAGAUUAUCAGCAACCGGUAGGCAGCAUAGAGAGAAAGGUGCUUCUAGUCAAGGGCUGACUGCUUGACUUUUGUUACUUCUUCUCCAUCACUUGUUCACACCUCCCUGUAUUUCCAUGUUAUCUUUCUUUGAAGGACCAUUUUUUAAUAGUAGCACUGAACUGAUCCGUAAAAAAAGUAUUAUUAAUCUCCUGGCUGCAUCAGAUCAAAUCGUGCCAUGCAAAUAAUCUUCUGGGGUCCCUGGCUCUGCUGUAUGUGCGAAAAC